rnacentral:rRNA from 1 species
AGUGCACAUGGUGGAUGCCUUGGCGAUUACAGGCGAUGAAGGACGUAGUAGCUUGCGAUAAGCUGCGGGGAGUGAGCAAACACACUUUGAUCCGCAGAUUUCCGAAUGGGGCAACCCACCCUUUUAGGGUAUUGCAUACUGAAUACAUAGGUAUGCAAGGCGAACGCGGCGAACUGAAACAUCUAAGUAGCUGCAGGAAAAGAAAUCAACCGAGAUUCCCAAAGUAGCGGCGAGCGAAAUGGGAAGAGCCUGUACGUGAUAGUCGGACCGAUAACAGAAUCCUCUGGAAAUAGGAGCCAUAGUGGGUGAUAGCCCCGUAUGUGAAAUCGGACCGGUGGUACUAAGCGUACGACAAGUAGGGCGGGACACGUGACAUCCUGUCUGAAUAUGGGGGGACCAUCCUCCAAGGCUAAAUACUCGUAAUCGACCGAUAGUGAACCAGUACCGUGAGGGAAAGGCGAAAAGAACCCCGGAAGGGGAGUGAAAUAGAUCCUGAAACCGUGUGCAUACAAACAGUAGGAGCGGACUUGUUCCGUGACUGCGUACCUUUUGUAUAAUGGGUCAGCGACUUACAUUCAGUGGCAAGGUUAACCAUAUAGGGAAGCCGUAGAGAAAUCGAGUCCGAAUAGGGCGAUCAGUCGCUGGGUGUAGACCCGAAACCAAGUGAUCUACUCAUGGCCAGGAUGAAGGUGCGGUAACACGCCCUGGAGGUCCGAACCCACUAAUGUUGAAAAAUUAGGGGAUGAGCUGUGGGUAGGGGUGAAAGGCUAAACAAACUUGGAAAUAGCUGGUUCUCUCCGAAAACUAUUUAGGUAGUGCCUCAAGUAUCACCAUCGGGGGUAGAGCACUGUUAUGGCUAGGGGGUCAUUGCGACUUACCAAACCAUUGCAAACUCCGAAUACCGAUGAGUGCGAGCUUGGGAGACAGACGUCGGGUGCUAACGUCCGGCGUCAAGAGGGAAACAACCCAGACCGCCAGCUAAGGUCCCAAAGAUUGGCUAAGUGGAAAACGAAGUGGGAAGGCUAAAACAGUCAGGAUGUUGGCUUAGAAGCAGCCAUCAUUUAAAGAAAGCGUAAUAGCUCACUGAUCGAGUCGUCCUGCGCGGAAGAUGUAACGGGGCUAAGCCAGUCACCGAAGCUGCGGAUAUUGUUCUGUGAUUUAUCACAGAUAUAUAUGGUAGGAGAGCGUUCUGUAAGCCUGCGAAGGUGUCUUGUAAAGGAUGCUGGAGGUAUCAGAAGUGCGAAUGCUGACAUGAGUAGCGAUAAUGGGGGUGAAAAGCCUCCACGCCGUAAGCCCAAGGUUUCCUGUUCAACGUUCAUCGGAGCAGGGUGAGUCGGCCCCUAAGGCGAGGCAGAGAUGCGUAGCUGAUGGGAAGCAGGUUAAUAUUCCUGCACCGUCGUAUGAUGCGAUGGGGGGACGGAUCGCGGAAGGUUGUCCAACUGUUGGAAUAGUUGGUUUUUGGCUCAUAGAAGGCACUUAGGCAAAUCCGGGUGCGGAAUUCAAGGGGUUGAGACGAGUGAACUUGUUCACGAAGCAAUCGGAAGUGGUUCCAAGAAAAGCCUCUAAGCUUCAGUCAUACGAGACCGUACCGCAAACCGACACAGG